rnacentral:rRNA from 1 species
AAGUCGUAACAAGGUCUCCGUUGGUGAACCAGCGGAGGGAUCAUUACAGAGUUGCAAAACUCCCAACCAUUGUGAACCUACCUCACCGUUGCUUCGGCGGGUGGCCCGCGCCCGGGCCGUGCCGGCCCCUCGGGGCCGGCAAUCCGUCAGAAGACCGAACCUCUCCGUCAUCAUUGGCCUCUCUGAGUAACUUAUACAAUAAGUCAAAACUUUCAACAACGGAUCUCUUGGUUCUGGCAUCGAUGAAGAACGCAGCGAAAUGCGAUACGUAAUGUGAAUUGCAGAUUUCAGUGAAUCAUCGAAUCUUUGAACGCACAUUGCGCCCGCCAGUAUUCUGGCGGGCAUGCCUGUUCGAGCGUCGUUUCAACCAUCAAGCGCUAUGCUUGUGUUGGGGCCCUGCGGCUGCCGCAGACCCCUAAAUCCAGUGGCGGGCUCGUCGUCGUACCGAGUGCAGUAAACAUCCUCGCUCAGGGAACGCGCCGGGUCUCCUGCCGUGAAACACCCCUUCAUUAAGGUUGACCUCGGAUCAGGUAGGAAUACCCGCUGAACUUA